rnacentral:rRNA from 1 species
UACGAAGGGUCCAAGCGUUAUCCGGAUUUAUUGGGUUUAAAGGGUGCGUAGGCGGCUUAUUAAGUCAGUGGUGAAAGACUUCAGCUUAACUGAAGAACUGCCAUUGAUACUGAUGAGCUUGAGUACAGUCGAGGUGGGCGGAAUGUGUCAUGUAGCGGUGAAAUGCUUAGAUAUGACACAGAACACCGAUUGCGAAGGCAGCUCGCUAAACUGUAACUGACGCUGAGGCACGAAAGCGUGGGGAGCAAGCAGG